UACGUAGGGUGCGAGCGUUGUCCGGAAUUAUUGGGCGUAAAGAGCUCGUAGGCGGUGUGUCACGUCGGCCGUGAAAACCUGCAGCUUAACUGUGGCGUGCGGUCGAUACGGGCAGACUUGAGUUCGGUAGGGGAGACUGGAAUUCCAGGUGUAGCGGUGAAAUGCGUAGAUAUCUGGAGGAACACCGGUGGCGAAGGCGGCAUUCUGGACCGACAGUUGACUGCUGACGGAGA
rnacentral:rRNA from 1 species